AAACUUAGAAAUGUGCUAUUUUGGUCAUUUAAGUUUUUGAGUGCUAUUUUUGUGAUAUAAACUUAGAAAUGUGCUAUUUCGGAGAUUUGCCCUAAUUAGUUAUUGUUUAAUUUAUUUUCCUUCUCAGUAAUUAACUCAAAUAAUGCAACAAACUAUUAAUUUUAAUUUCCUUCCCUUUUAACUUCCGCUCCAACUUAUGUUCAAGUAAUCAAGUUUAUGAUUGAUUGAUACAGAGGUGAUUAUCCAGAUCUAUGGUUUCUAUGCUGGGUGUGAGGCGAAUCAAUCAAGGUCUGUGUAUUCUUUCGGUGAUUUCUGGUAUCGAUGAUGAUACCUUCGAUGGAGAUCUAAGGUUUUGCAAUGGAGAAUCUGCACAGAUCUGCAAAUCGGUGGUUUUGAGAGUGUAUUCAGUCAUUUCUUAGGGGCGAAAACUAAGGAUUCUCAAGAUCGUAUUAGGAGUUUUUGGACAAGGAAAAAAGAUCUCCAAGACGAAGUUGUGAAGAAUAAUCCAUGGAGUUUUGAGGUUUCUAAUUGUGGGACGACAAGAAAAGAUUGGAAAUUUAAAGAGGAUCUUUGUCAUGCCUUUAUUGCCCUUAAAGGUUUGAGGUCAGAGCCAAUAGCGUAUAGGGAGUUUGAAUGUGGUUGGAAGACUAGGAGGUUGGUCUUUUGGUAUAAGUUUUGAUCUUCUUAUACCAUAGUAUUACCUCUCCGAAGUUAUUUCGUUUCCUUUGGUGUCUCUGGUGAAAUCUCUUCUUUAAAUAACCAUAUCAAGAUUCAAAGCAGUAGAUUGGAAAAGGAUUGGUUUCUGAGUAUACAGUUUAGUUGCUCAAUGAUGGUGAUGGGUAUAAUAAAAGAGUGGAGUGUUCUACGGUUGA